UACGGGGGGGGCAAGCGUUGUUCGGAAUUACUGGGCGGAAAGGGCUCGUAGGUGGCCAACUAAGUCAGACGUGAAAUCCCUCGGCUUAACCGGGGAACUGCGUCUGAUACUGGAUGGCUGGAGUAUGGGAGAGGGAUGCGGAAUUCCAGGUGUAGCGGUGAAAUGCGUAGAUAUCUGGAGGAACACCGGUGGCGAGGGCGGCAUCCUGGACCAUUACUGACGCUGAGGAGCGAAAGCCAGGGGAGCAAACGGG
rnacentral:rRNA from 1 species